rnacentral:miRNA from 10 species
UCAGCAGAGUGAGUGCAGGCG